AGAAUCAACGCUGGCGGCGUGCCUAACACAUGCAAGUCGAACGAGAAAGUGGGAGCAAUCCCACGAGUAAAGAGGCGCACGGGUGAGUAACACGUGACUAACCUACCCUCGAGUGGGGAAUAACCUGGGGAAACCCGGGCUAAUACCGCAUAAUACCCACGGGUCAAAGGAGCAAUUCGCUUGAGGAGGGGGUCGCGGCAGAUUAGUUAGUUGGCGGGGUAAUGGCCCACCAAGACGAUGAUCUGUA
rnacentral:rRNA from 1 species